rnacentral:rRNA from 1 species
UACGAAGGGGGGCUAGCGUUGCUCGGAAUUAUUGGGCGUAAAGAGCUCGUAGGCGGUCUGUCGCGUCGGAUGUGAAAACCCAGGGCUCAACCCUGGGCCUGCAUUCGAUACGGGCAGACUAGAGUGCGGUAGGGGAGACUGGAAUUCCUGGUGUAGCGGUGAAAUGCGCAGAUAUCAGGAGGAACACCGGUGGCGAAGGCGGGUCUCGUGGGCCGUAACUGACGCUGAGGAGCGAAAGCAUGGGGAGCGAACAGG